CGCGGAUUGAUAGUUUAACGAGACAUCAUCUGGCGAUAACAAGGAUGGGGAAGGCAGAAUUUGUAGGCUGAAUGUCAAAAUUGGCAUGUUCAAUCCCAUGAAUCCAUCGCCAGGGAGGCUAUCCCAUAACACAUUGAGGGACUAAAGUGGACACCUGAUCGCGUUUCACUCCAUUACAUUGGCUUGGCAGGACAAAACAGUCAAGCCCGACAUGUUUGGAGGUUGAAGGACAUUCCUCCUAGACACCCUGCAGAUGUAAAGAACUUGUUGCGAACCUCCCGGCCACCAGGAUAAUCACCAUAUCCCAGAAUAUUAUUCAGGAGUGUGCAACAUCACAAUGUUAGAUAGAAAUAGAAUCACUUAUGUUAUUCUUUAUUAUGCAGAUAUGUCAGGACAACCUAACUUAUUACGCUCAUUCUCAAAUACAGAUGUGAUUUCUAUCCCAGUGGAUUGCACUGUACGCAAGUCUCCAAUUUAGACCACAAUUAGUUGAAUUGGGUGUUAGUGAAGGGCUGGAACAUAAACCUGUAAACUCCUGUGCUGUGCUUGUCAAAACUAAAUUUGCCCUCAUGUACUGAACAAGUUUAUGAAUGUUGGAGGUUAAUCUCCUUGAUGUCCUUCACCUGGAAAUGACUUAUUUUGUACAUUGGACUGUGUUUUAAGGACUCAUGCAAAAGUAUAGGAAAUUCAAUAAAAUGUUUAACAUUUAUUCAAAAUUACAAGUGUUGAAGUCGCCACAUGUUUCUGGUUUUGAGUCUUGAGCAUCUGGUGACUGCAAGGAGAAAUGCAUUAAUAUAUUAUAGUAUUCACUUAAUUGAAUAUAUAUAUAUUCCUGUUUGAUAUGCAUUUAUAGAAUUACAAUGGACAUGUCACCCUUUAUCACAUGCCAGUAUUUGUUUUGUAUCCAAUGCAUUUAACUUACCGUAAUUUCCGGACUAUUAAGCCCACCUGAAUAUAAGC